rnacentral:rRNA from 1 species
UGGGGAAUAUUGGACAAUGGGCGAAAGCCUGAUCCAGCCAUGCCGCGUGUGUGAAGAAGGUCUUCGGAUUGUAAAGCACUUUAAGUUGGGAGGAAGGGCAGUAAGCGAAUACCUUGCUGUUUUGACGUUACCGACAGAAUAAGCACCGGCUAACUCUGUGCCAGCAGCCGCGGUAAUACAGAGGGUGCAAGCGUUAAUCGGAAUUACUGGGCGUAAAGCGCGCGUAGGUGGUUCGUUAAGUUGAAUGUGAAAGCCCCGGGUUCAACCUGGGAACUGCAUCCAAAACUGGCGAGCUAGAGUAGGGCAGAGGGUGGUGGAAUUUCCUGUGUAGCGGUGAAAUGCGUAGAUAUAGGAAGGAACACCAGUGGCGAAGGCGACCACCUGGGCUCAUACUGACACUGAGGUGCGAAAGCGUGGGGAGCAAACAGG